AGAAACUUGAAAACUACCAUUGGAUCGAGAAAUGGACGAUCGAUAUUCGUCCACGUUAUCAAGAGUAAAAAAUUAAUUUUGAGUAAAAUUUUUACUCGUGAUGACAUGGACGAAUCUCGGACGUCCAUUUUCGAUCCAACGCCAGUUUUCAAGUUUUC
rnacentral:pre_miRNA from 1 species